CGCGCUCCUCCUUCUGCCCUCAGGGGUGCCCUGUCUGGAAGUGGCGGGUUUCUGCUGUGUCUGUCGUGGUGUUGGGCUCAGUUGCGCCGCUCUCCUGUGUGGGUCGUGGCUGCAGGGCUCAGUGGCCAAGAGAAACCAGUUCUGGAUUUGGUUGAUUGCUGGUCUAAGACAAGAUUCCAAGGCGGACUCCGUGGUGGCCUGAGCGUGGAGUCUCAGCCGAUACCAGCCAGAAGGCCUGAGGCCCAGCCCUAGCCGGGGAGUGACCCACAGGGCGCAGCAAACCUCCCCUGUCUCCCCGCUGCAGUGGAUCCGCCUGUGCUGCUCCCCACUCUGUCUCUGGGCUCCAGAGACCUCCAAAAAAGGUGAGGAAGCUGCCUCCAUGGGCAGGACUGGACAACCCAGAAAAAGAAAAAAUCCUGGUAACCUUGAGAAAAGGAAACCCCGCGUGAGUCUGAUGAAACCAACUUUGUUCCUGGAGCCUGCAUGGACCCAAUGUCAAGAGUUCACUCUGAUCCUACAUGAGUAUUCCAGCAAAGCCAUUUAAAAUUGCUGUUUGGUUAUUCUGCCCUGUGGUUUUAUGCAAAAGUAGUCUGAAAGUAGAUUUAGUUUACAAAUAUUUUGCUGUACUGUUUGAUAAAAUUGGGGGUCAGAAUGGAGAGAAUUUGUUUUUAGAUAGGUUGAACCAGUUUUAAGAUUUUUUUUUUCUUAUGGUGAUUUAGAUAUAUUUGCUGUUUUGUUUUGGCUAAUGCCUCCUGAUGUUUUUCCUUUUGCCAUAGACUGACAGACUAAUUUCCAGGAAUGAAGGACUGCCACACUGGACAUUCAUGGACAAUACUGCAGUGGAACAACUUUUUGUCCCAGAGGAACCAGGUCCUGGGCCCUGGGACGUAGACCAUCCAUUGUGAGGACCAACUUGGCUGGGACCUUAAAACAUUUAACUUGGGGGAGAGGGUAUGUUAUCACCUACAGGACCACUUUGGGUUCCAGCAGAAAAGGACCAAUCUUAUUCCAGAGCUCCAGCCAUCAGUCGUCCAGCCGCCACCCAGGAUACCACCCAUGAGUCAAAAAGGAGAAAGGAGGAUCCUUCCCAUAGACUGCACAGUCCUUGGGAACAUCAGAUCAAGACUUGAUGUCCUUGAGGCUGCUGUGUGCUGACUUGGUGAACACCAGCAGGGCACCGGACUCAAUUGUGAUUUGUUGUGAGACCAUUCUAUCUAACUCCUAUUGCUUUUGGUACAGUCCCUCCUGAGAAGCGGUUCAAAGACAUCACGAUGCAUUCCAUAGUAACCUUGGACUCCAUGUCAUGGACCUUGAAGAGAGACUACAGCAACAAUUGACACGGUUGCAGCAGGAAGCACAAAAUGCCACAUUGGCACAUUUGAAUGACAUUGCCUAUUGGCUGAAUCCAACAAAACUGUAUUGAGAUAUUGGAGUUUAGAUUUUGUUUGGUAUAGGUUUAUUGUUUUUGUUAAUUUUUACUUAUCAUUUUAAAAGCCCUGUCUGCCUGUUGCAGAAAACUCUUUUUGCUGAGGCCAGGCUGAUCUCCCUGUAAAAGGGAGCACCCCAUCAUUCAUUAUACUAACCCUUGUUUUUGCAUACGUUACUCUGCAUAGUCCUCUACAAAAGCUAAUGAAGAAGCACGUGGGAGCAGAAACAACUAAACAUUGCCACCAUAUUCACUGUCAAGACUGUAUUAAAAAACAAAAUUGGGGGAAAUGUUGCAGACCUCUAAGGCAUGAAAUGCUAGGACAAGGAGAAUGUUGGGAUCGUGACUGGAAGACUGGUCAACACGGGCUGGAAGAAUGGCCUGUGUCCAGAACAUGAUGUCCUUUCCUGUGUCAGCAAAGCUAAGCCUGAGAAGCAAGCAAGAUUAGACAGGGAGUAGAAUAUACCCAAUAACGCAGAGCCUGGGGCUGUGAAUGUGUGCCUGAACAAGGCCAAACUCUAAGAAAAUGAUUCAUUGUCUAGUAACUAAUGGGGGAGGGGAGAAGGCGGUUUGUAUCAAUAAAAAUGAGUUGCAUUGGGCACUCGGGAUGCUUGAGCUCAGAAUGAGAGGUCUUGUGUCCCCUAGGUCCUGCUUCUCUUAAACCCUAUUUUGUGUCUGUCAUUUCUUUAUUCCAAAGUUCUUUCAGGUUCUUCUCCUCAACCUUGCUCACUGGAGCUGGUCUCCAUUAGUUAAUGAUAACAAAUGCCUUGUAAAACCUUCACAAGGAAAGGAGAAUAUUUUUGUGGACGAUUUGGUUUCUUUUGUGUGGCAGCUUUAAGUUAUUCCUUGUUUAAAUCAGUAUUUUUUAGUGGAAACAACUUGACCCAAAACCUGUCAGAAGUUUGAGACCUAUUAAAACAAAUUUUAAUGAGAACCCGUGUCUUCUCUUGGUCAACACUGUAGUCUAGGACUAAGAUAAGAUUUCAGUACGAGUUGCUCUGAGUCCUGAUAUUGCCUCCUGGGUAGGUAUUUUUGGGGUUUUCUUCAUCGUAAGGGAGUGAAUCAUCCAUAGAGAUAAAACUAUGGGCUGGCUGUUUUGGUGGUAGCACAUUAGGACAGAGGAGUCGAGUAACUUUGUUUUUAUGUAAGCUCAGGAGAGGACCAACAUCUAUACUGUUAAACUCCACAUGUUUCUUUUAACUUUUUUUUGUAGUUACAUCAAUGAGUAAAUUUGUUGGUAUAAUAUUCACGUUUAGUUUCUCAGUUACUAGAAUGUGCAUCCUCACAAAUAUGGAAAUAGUUUAUAAAGUGAGACUUAAAUAGUGUUGAGUUAAUUGCAUCCAGGUUAUAGGGAAAAUAAAACAUACUGGAAAAUGAAAAAAAUUCUCCAGAGAAAAUAUUUUAUACAAAUUUACACAGCCUGGUUCUCCUAAUCACUAGGAAUCAUGGUCAGUGAGUUCACCAAGAGGUCAAUCCUAAUUGCUUUGAGGUCAUGAAGAAGUCAGUGAGUUCACUGAGAAGUCAAAAUAAUUACUUGGGGUCAUGCAGAGGUCAGUGAGUUCAUGAAGAGGUCAGUGAGCUUGGUGUAGACUUCAGUGAAUUCAGAGUUGGUUCUCCUAGUCACUUGGGGUCAUGCAGAGGUCAGUGAGUUCACAGAGAGGUCAAUCUUAAUGACUUGGGGUCAUGCAAAAGUCAGCAAUGUCACAGAGAGGUCAAUCCUAAUUACCUGGGGUAUUUUUUUUUAAGAUUUAUUUUAUACAAGAACUGGGGUAGAGGUCAGAGGCAUGGGAGGGUGAGAGAAUUCACCAGAGACAGAGAAGGGAGCAGAACAGGCAGAUGGAUGAAAACACUGCUGAGGGGAGCAGGAGGGGUCUGCUGUGCCAUGUGGAUAUCCCCCCGGCAGGCAGGGAUGGAACCCCGAGCUGCAGAGGCUGCGGACACUUCACAGUGCUGUGUUCAAAGCCUGAGCCACCUAGGAGGCCCUACGUGGGGAUCUUUAUUUCACCAAGAGAGGGCGCUCCUAAUGCAUAGACUUAUUUAGCCUUAUUCUCCAGGGAAAACUCCAGCUAUUUUUCUUCUGGAAAAUUUAAAAUAAUGAAAAACUUCAAAGAGGAAGUCUUCAUGUCAAAUACAUGAUCUGUAGAAUUUCCUUUUUUGUAAUAUGUAGUGUUCAUAUUUUUUAAUUUAACAGGAAAACCGUACAUACUUGCUUAUUGAAAUGAUUCAAUGCUAUUUCUUAGAAAUCUAACAAUGACAAAAAUUAUACUUUGAAUUUAUUUUACAUAGGAAAUUAGUUAAAAUGUUUUCAACAUCAAUGACACCAUGAUAGGACUAUAAAUCUAUCAGGAAGCAGUUUAGAGUUUGUCUUAAAUCCCAUUAAGCUA